rnacentral:rRNA from 1 species
CCUACGGGAGGCAGCAGUGGGGAAUAUUGCACAAUGGGGGGAACCCUGAUGCAGCGACGCCGCGUGGGUGAAGAAGUGCUUCGGCAUGUAAAGCCCUAUCGGCAGGGAAGAAACAAGACGGUAGCGGACUAAGAAGCCCCGGCUAACUACGUGCCAGCAGCCGCGGUAAUACGUAGGGGGCGAGCGUUAUCCGGGUUCGCUGGGGGUAAAGGGAGCGUAGACGGCCAUGCAAGCCAGGGGUGAAAGCCCGGGGCCCAACCCCGGGACUGCCCUUGGAACUGGAUGGCUUGAGUGCGGGAGGGGAAGGCGGAAUUCCUGGUGGAGCGGUGAAAUGCGUAGAUAUCAGGAGGAACACCGGUGGCGAAGGCGGCCUGCUGGACCGCGACUGACGUUGAGGCUCGAAAGCGUGGGGAGCGAACAGGAUUAGAUACCCCUGUAGUC